rnacentral:lncRNA from 1 species
GAUCUGCAAAAUAUGGGAAACGUAUUCCUUGAUGUCUUAGAUAUUUCACCUGUGUUAUUAUUAAGUCCCUAUUAAGUUUAUUAUUAUUAUUGUUAUUAUUAAGUCCUUAUCAAGUUUAAUAGGGACUUGUACCUUGAACUCAACUUAAAUGCUAAGCUAAGUUGCUGACUGUCAUCUCUCAUUCAGUUAUUCACUCACGAGAUGCACACACACAAUGACUUAGGUUAAGUGACAGCUUUUACACCUCAGUGUGGUGUGAGCUCUGGUGCAACAGCAUUACAAUUUUACAACUCUUCCUCUCACUUAUUCUCAACAGAAGAAAGGCAAAGCUUAAAGCAGAGACAAGCGAAACAAAUGAUGAUGCUGAAGGAUGGAAAUGCCUGAGGCCACUGGCUAACCAUGCUACAAAACCAUCACUAAAUAGGAAAUUGCUACUUUUUUCACAGCUGUGUGACUACAACUUGCAGAAACCCUGCUGCAGAGGAGCACACCGACCUGUCACAUUCACUCCACUUCCACCUAACACCUCUGAGGCCAGUUUUUCCUCCAAGUUGUCCUGGCUGGAAAACGUGGAGCAACUGGUAAUGCUGGUGGAGUAG